rnacentral:rRNA from 1 species
UACGUAGGGGCCUAGCGUUGUCCGGAUUUAUUGGGCGUAAAGGGUGCGUAGGCGGUUUGGUAAGUCUGAUGUGAAAUCUAUGGGCUCAACUCAUAGUCUGCAUCGGAAACUGCCGGGCUUGAGUGUGGGAGAGGUGAGUGGAAUUCCUGGUGUAGCGGUGAAAUUCGUAGAUAUUCGGAAGAACACCAGUGGCGAAGGCGACGUACUGGACACAUAGUGACGCUGAGGUGCGAAAGCGUGGGGAGCAAACAGG